GGAAGGGGGGGUCCAAGAGGCGGUAGAGGUGGACCUCCUAGAGGAGGUGCCCGUGGAGGUGGCUUUAGGGGCCGAGGGAGGUCAUAGAAGAAUUUUGUGUAAUAUUAUUGUGCUUUUAUCCAUGAAAGGUUUUGUUUUAUGGUGCAAUGGACAAACAACAAUCAAUGUUUGGAUACUAAUUUGAACUUUGUUGUUGAAGAAGUGAAUUUUUGUUACACAUCUAUUGGUGUUUUUCUAACCUCUAGAUCUUCUAUUAUCAAUUGUUCCAGAG
rnacentral:misc_RNA from 1 species